CGUUCGCCGGAAGACCAAGGGUUCCUGUCCAACGUUAAUCGGGGCAGGGUGAGUCGGCCCCUAAGGCGAGGCUGAAAAGCGUAGUCGAUGGGAAACAGGUUAAUAUUCCUGUACUUGGUAAAGCUGCGAUGUGGGGACGGAGUAGGUUAGGUUAGCGUGCUGUUGGAUAUGCACGUUUAAGUUGGUAGGUGGGAAGUUUAGGCAAAUCCGGACUUCUAUUAAACACUGAGAGAUGAUGACGAGGCUCUACGGAGCUGAAGUAACUGAUACCACACUUCCAGGAAAAGCCACUAAGCGACAGGCUUUACUAAACCGUACUGAAAACCGACACAGGUGGUCAGGUAGAGAAUACUCAGGCGCUUGAGAGAACUCGGGUGAAGGAACUAGGCAAAAUAGCACCGUAACUUCGGGAGAAGGUGCGCCGGCGUAGAUUGUAAGGGCUAGCCCCUGAAGGUUGAACCGGUCGAAGAUACCAGCUGGCUGCAACUGUUUAUUAAAAACACAGCACUCUGCAAACACGAAAGUGGAGGUAUAGGGUGUGAUGCCUGCCCGGUGCUGGAAGGUUAAUUGAUGGUGUAAUCGAAAGAGAAGCACCUGAUCGAAGCCCCAGUAAACGGCGGCCGUAACUAUAACGGUCCUAAGGUAGCGAAAUUCCUUGUCGGGUAAGUUCCGACCUGCACGAAUGGCAUAAUGAUGGCCAGGCUGUCUCCACCCGAGACUCAGUGAAAUUGAAAUCGCCGUGAAGAUGCGGUGUACCCGCGGCUAGACGGAAAGACCCCGUGAACCUUUACUAUAGCUUGACACUGAACAUUGAAUUUUGAUGUGUAGGAUAGGUGGGAGACUAAGAAGUAGGAACGCCAGUUUCUAUGGAGUCAUCCUUGAAAUACCACCCUUUAACGUUUGAUGUUCUAACGAAGAUUACGAAACGUGGUCUCGGACAGUGUCUGGUGGGUAGUUUGACUGGGGCGGUCUCCUCCCAAAGCGUAACGGAGGAGCACGAAGGUUUGCUAAUCACGGUCGGACAUCGUGAGGUUAGUGCAAUGGUAUAAGCAAGCUUAACUGCGAGACAGACAAGUCGAGCAGGUACGAAAGUAGGUCAUAGUGAUCCGGUGGUUCUGAAUGGAAGGGCCAUCGCUCAACGGAUAAAAGGUACUCCGGGGAUAACAGGCUGAUACCGCCCAAGAGUUCAUAUCGACGGCGGUGUUUGGCACCUCGAUGUCGGCUCAUCACAUCCUGGGGCUGAAGUAGGUCCCAAGGGUAUGGCUGUUCGCCAUUUAAAGUGGUACGCGAGCUGGGUUUAGAACGUCGUGAGACAGUUCGGUCCCUAUCUGCCGUGGGCGUAGGAGAAUUGGUUGGGGCUGCUCCUAGUACGAGAGGACCGGAGUGGACGCACCACUGGUGUUCCGGUUGUGUCGCCAGACGCAUUGCCGGGUAGCUAAGUGCGGAAGAGAUAAGUGCUGAAAGCAUCUAAGCACGAAACUUGCCAAGAGAUGAGUUCUCCCUGUCUUUAAGACAGUAAGGGUUGUUUAAGACGAAGACGUAGAUAG
rnacentral:rRNA from 1 species